rnacentral:rRNA from 1 species
GACGAACGCUGGCGGCGUGCUUAACACAUGCAAGUCGAACGGAAAGGCCCGGCUUUUUUGGGGUGCUCAAGUGGCGAACGAGUGAGUAACACGUGAGUAACCUGCCCUUGACUUUGGUAUAACUUCAGGAAACUGAGGCUAAUACCGGAUAGGAGCUCCUGCUGCUUGGUGGGGGCUGGAAAGAUUCGGCGGUUGGGGAUGGACUCGCGGCUUAUCAGCUUGUUGGUGGGGUAGUGGCUUACCAAGGCUAUGACGGGUAGCCGGCCUGAGAGGGUGACCGGCCACAUUGGGACUGAGAUACGGCCCAGAGUGCUACGGGAGGCAGCGGUGGGGAAUAUUGCACAAUGGGCGGAAGCCUGAUGCAGCAACGCCGCGUGCGGGAGGACGGCCUUCGGGUUGUAAACCGCUUUCGCCUGUGACGAAGCGUGAGUGACGGUAAUGGGUAAAGAAGCACCGGCUAACUACGUG